AACCCAUCCAACUGUGACCAGAAUACAGUAAUUAUAGAAGAGAAAAUAUGUCAUCAGAACGUAUCCCAUCCAUUAAGCUGCUGGAGUUACAGUCAACAGUGAACUCUAAGGAAAAUCAGAAUCCAGUAAACUUACAAGGAAUGGAGCUCAGUGACCUGCAACACAUGUCUUACAUGCUGUAACAACUUAACAGAGAUAGUGAUAGUGAAAUGGGCAAUUCAGUGAAAGUGAAAAGCAUUAGUUUAGGCACUCUUUUAUUGUAUUUUGCUAAUUGUUGUGUUUUUUAUAAAAAUAAGAUUAUUAAUAUGUUGCAGUGGCGAAAUAAUCAGAAUUUGCAUGUGCAAUCCCCUGAUAAUUUCGCUCUUAAGGAGGGAGGAGUUAUAUAAUCCCGUGUGUCACCACCAUAGGAUAAUUAUAUUUUAUAUAAACAAAAGCCAUUGCAACAUAGUAGUACAAAGAUCCUUUAUAUUUCAAUAGCCUAAGUGCUGUUACAUGAUUUACGAACCACUCUUACAUGAUUUACGAACCACUCUUAGUUCUUACUAAGUAACGUUUCCUUGUAGAGCGUGAGAACAAUGUGUCAGCACAACGGUCACGUAGGCCUUUAAGAAUAGGAUAUAAAUAUAAUAGAAUACUUGUAAUAUUUAGUAUUAAACGGACCUCAAAUCGGA